AGAAAAAAAUUGAAGCUUUCACAGUUUGGAUUCCAUUUAUUUAAAAAUACAAAAGUCCAGUUCAGGAAAUAAAACUUUAAAAUGAGAGAUGAGUUUGGGCUAAAUACCAUCACAAGAAUAAAGUUGUAACUGCACAAUUGAAAAAAAAAAAAGAAAAAAAAAUACAAAUCAUAAUUGGGUAAGAAAAAAAUAUGGGAAAUUAGUCAGAAUUGUGAUCAGCAAAAAUGUUUCAAGUAUUUUAGUGUUAAAUCUGAAGUGUAAAUAAAGGUACGAGUUUGUUAACAGUCAUGUAUAUCCCAUCGAUGGGAAAAUUCACUUUUUAUUUGUGAGAUACGGACAAAACAAAAUGAGGCAGGUGGGGGGGAGUUAAGCUUUUGCCAAAGUUCGAAUUUUGCCAAAAAAAAAACAAAAAAAAAAACUUGUGAAAAAGUUAGUGUUGUGCCCAAAGAUAGCAUCUAGAAUUUAAGGUUGUAAUUUUAUGAGAAGUCAUGGAUAUUUGGUUUUAUUUUAAAUGCAUCAAGAACUUUUAAUUUAUAAAAGUCUUGUUUUGUUACCCUGUAUGUCAAAAUAUUUGACAUUCACAUAAUUCUUUUAUUCUCUAAAAUUUUCUAUUAAAUUUAGAAUUUUAACAGCACUUUGAUAAUGCAAAACAUUACAACUUUAUUCUUGAAAAAUCUUUUUCCCUGUGAUAGCUCAUUACAGUCGCUCAACCAAUCAGGUUUCAUCACAGUGAACACACCCACAUCUACUGAAGAAUCACAUUUGAG